rnacentral:rRNA from 1 species
UGAACGCUGGCGGCGUGCCUAAUACAUGCAAGUCGAACGAGGUAUUUAUACCGAGUGGCGAACGGGUGAGUAACACGUAGGUAACCUGCCUUACAGUUUGGGAUACCCUGGCGAAAGCUAGGCUAAUACCGAAUAAUUGGAUUGGAGGCAUCUCCGAUCUCUAAAAGGGGCCCUUAAAGCCUCGCUGAAUGAUGGACCUGCGGCGCAUUAGCUAGUUGGUGAGAUAAUAGCCCACCAAGGCGAGGAUGCGUAGCCGACCUGAGAGGGUGAACGGCCACACUGGAACUGAGACACGGUCCAGACUCCUACGGGAGGCAGCAGUAGGGAGUUUUCGGCAAUGGGGGAAACCCUGACCGAGCAACGCCGCGUGAAUGAUGAAGGUCUUCGGAUUGUAAAGUUCUGUUGUAAGGGAAAAAUGAUAUGGUGAGGAAAUGCUCCAUAUUUGAUGGUACCUUAUUAGAAAGCCACGGCUAACUACGUGCCAGCCGCGGC